ACAAGCAGUGGGAGCACCUUCGUGGUGUGACUGCGUACCUUUUGUAUAAUGGGUCAGCGACUUAUAUUCUGUAGCAAGGUUAACCGUAUAGGGGAGCCGAAGGGAAACCGAGUCUUAACUGGGCGUUAAGUUGCAGGGUAUAGACCCGAAACCCGGUGAUCUAGCCAUGGGCAGGUUGAAGGUUGGGUAACACUAACUGGAGGACCGAACCGACUAAUGUUGAAAAAUUAGCGGAUGACUUGUGGCUGGGGGUGAAAGGCCAAUCAAACCGGGAGAUAGCUGGUUCUCCCCGAAAGCUAUUUAGGUAGCGCCUCGUGAACUCAUCUUCGGGGGUAGAGCACUGUUUCGGCUAGGGGGCCAUCCCGGCUUACCAACCCGAUGCAAACUACGAAUACCGAAGAAUGUUAUCACGGGAGACACACGGCGGGUGCUAACGUCCGUCGUGAAGAGGGAAACAACCCAGACCGCCAGCUAAGGUCCCAAAGUCAUGGUUAAGUGGGAAACGAUGUGGGAAGGCACAGACAGCCAGGAUGUUGGCUUAGAAGCAGCCAUCAUUUAAAGAAAGCGUAAUAGCUCACUGGUCGAGUCGGCCUGCGCGGAAGAUGUAACGGGGCUAAACCAUGCACCGAAGCUGCGGCAGCGACACUAUGUGUUGUUGGGUAGGGGAGCGUUCUGUAAGCCGUUGAAGGUGUGCUGUGAGGCAUGCUGGAGGUAUCAGAAGUGCGAAUGCUGACAUAAGUAACGAUAAAGCGGGUGAAAAGCCCGCUCGCCGGAAGACCAAGGGUUCCUGUCCAACGUUAAUCGGGGCAGGGUGAGUCGACCCCUAAGGCGAGGCCGAAAGGCGUAGUCGAUGGGAAACAGGUUAAUAUUCCUGUACUUGGUGUUACUGCGAAGGGGGGACGGAGAAGGCUAUGUUAGCCGGGCGACGGUUGUCC
rnacentral:rRNA from 1 species